rnacentral:misc_RNA from 1 species
UUUCCGUAGGUGAGCCUGCGGAAGGAUCAUUGUAGGAUUGUUUUGGGAGGGAUGGUUGUGAUUUGUGGGGAUUGUGUGUGGUUGUUUGGAUUGCUUGGAUUGCCUGGCUGUCUGCAACUCGACUCGUCUCAUCACAACCACUCUUUACAUUGGCACAGACCAGUGGUCUGGUGUUUGGAGCAACAGACCACUGGUGUCUGAUGUUUGCGCUUGCUCGUUUGACAGAAACAAUACCAUAUCAUAUUAUCAUUGCAAAACUUUUAACAAUGGAUCUCUUGGCUCUU